AACGAACGCUGGCGGCAGGCUUAACACAUGCAAGUCGAGCGCCCCGCAAGGGGAGCGGCAGACGGGUGAGUAACGCGUGGGAAUCUACCUUUUGCUACGGAAUAACUCAGGGAAACUUGUGCUAAUACCGUAUGUGCCCUUCGGGGGAAAGAUUUAUCGGCAAAGGAUGAGCCCGCGUUGGAUUAGCUAGUUGGUGGGGUAAAGGCCCACCAAGGCGACGAUCCAUAGCUGGUCUGAGAGGAUGAUCAGCCACACUGGGACUGAGACACGGCCCAGACUCCUACGGGAGGCAGCAGUGGGGAAUAUUGGACAAUGGGCGCAAGCCUGAUCCAGCCAUGCCGCGUGAGUGAUGAAGGCCCUAGGGUUGUAAAGCUCUUUCACCGGUGAAGAUAAUGACGGUAACCGGAGAAGAAGCCCCGGCUAACUUCGUGCCAGCCGCCGCGGUAAUAC
rnacentral:rRNA from 1 species